AUACGGAGGAUGCGAGCGUUAUCCGGAUUUAUUGGGUUUAAAGGGAGCGUAGGCGGGAGCUUAAGUCAGCGGUUAAAUGGUGCGGCUCAACCGUGCCCUGCCGUUGAAACUGGGUUUCUUGAGAGUGCAAGAGGCGGAUGGAAUUCAUGGUGUAGCGGUGCAAUGCUUAGAUAUCAUGAAGAACUCCGAUUGCGAAGGCAGUCCGCUGGGGCACGUCUGACGCUGAUGCUCGAAGGUGCGGGAAUCAAACAGGAUUAGAUACCCUGGUAGUCCGCACGGUAAACGAUGAUUACCCGCUGUCGGCGGCAGACAGUCGGCGGCCAAGCGAAAGCGAUAAGUAAUCCACCUGGGGAGUACGCCGGCAACGGUGAGACUCAAAUGAAUUGACGGGG
rnacentral:rRNA from 1 species